UACGGGGGGGGGCAAGCGUUGUUCGGAAUUACUGGGCGUAAAGGGCUCGUAGGUGGCCAACUAAGUCAUACGUGAAAUCCCUCGGCUUAACCGGGGAACUGCGUCUGAUACUGGAUGGCUUGAGGUUGGGAGAGGGAUGCGGAAUUCCAGGUGUAGCGGUGAAAUGCGUAGAUAUCUGGAGGAACACCGGUGGCGAAGGCGGCAUCCUGGACCAAUUCUGACACUGAGGAGCGAAGCCAGGGGAGACAAACGGG
rnacentral:rRNA from 1 species